rnacentral:misc_RNA from 1 species
AAGUCGUAACAAGGUUUCCGUAGGUGAACCUGCGGAAGGAUCAUUAACGUAUCACUGGCAGCGGCGCGCGCCCUGCUCCGGGCCUGACUGGCCCGUGCAGCGGGUGCCCGCAGGCUGCUCAGCCCCUUUCAAACCCCACUGUGAACCUUUGCGGCCAAGGGGCGCCAGCGACAGCUGCGCUCCAAACGCCGCGCUUUACAAGCGCGAUUUAGUAACGAGAAUGAAUGCGGACUCUGUGCCGCCUAACAAACAUGACAACUUUCAACAACGGAUCUCUUGGCUCUC